GGCUCGGUGGUGUAUGGUCCACGUCUGCUUCUUGUGGGGGAUUAUGUGUCCAAGAGCCAGCAGGAGACACCUGCUCGAACCAGGCUCGAGCCG